CAUGAGUGGCGGGCAUGCGUGCAAGCACACAUUUGCCUGCUGCAUAUGCAACUGGGGAUGCACACAUGCUCGUCUACCACUUCUGUGGCCCAAUUCCAAACUGCUCAAGGCCCAAUAAUGGGCCUGGGGAUUGGAGACCCCUAGUAGAGGGUCUCUUGCUUGAGCAGGGUGUUGGACUAAAAGAUCUCCAAGGUCCCUUCCAACUCUGUUAUUCUGUUACCAGCAGCUACGACUAGUUUGUAGGCUCAUCCCACUUACAGGAUGGCUGUUUUUAAUAGUGGCCGAACAGAGGGGUACAAUAAAGAGAUUGAUGAAAUGUAAAUAUUUCUAGCACUGUCUUGAGAUGUGCAGUGUUUGGAGCAAGGUGCAACUUUAAUGCAUUUAGUUCAGUAUUGCUAAUGCAGACUGACAGCCCUCUCACACCCAGCUCUUCCUGGAAGCCCCUGGAAUUGAAUUGGGUACCCUUCAGUGUUCAAAGCAGACACUCUGUUGUAGAUCUAUAUGAGCCACUGAGAAUAAGAAGGAGAACACAAAAAUCUUUCCUUUUCUCUGAGGACGAUAGCAACAUGCACAAAGCUGCAGGAGUGGAAACAUCACAAGGGGGUAGCCUGUCAAAAGCUUUCUUCACAGCACAUUUCUGCAGGAAAGAACCAUUCUUUCAUCUUAAGACAACUGGAUCUCCCCCCCCAUAUAUUAAAAAACAUGCACACAUCUUUUGCUGAAUAAUUAUGUCCCCAAUUGAAUGGGGGCUUUAGUUGGCAUCUCCAGAGCUUUUCCUCACUGCCCAUGGGUUGGGUUAAAAAAAAAGCUGCCAGUCCUUUAUUUUUUACAGGAAAUAACUUUUCCUGCUUAUUUAUUAUUUAUUAAUCAAAUUUAUAUAACCUUCACCUCUCCCCCCAUUUCACCGAAAACAACUGGGCAGCACACAACAAUGUGUCUUCUAGAAACCACAAUGUGUCUUUUUCUGGAUAUGUACAUAAAUUAGAAUGUAUCCAUACUGUAAGUGAUGUUGGUCACCAAGAUCCUGUAUAUUUUACUCUCAUCUGGAUCUUUAGCUGAAGCAGAAGCAGCAGGUACGUUGAGGGUGCUGAACCAGCUUAAAGGAAAUAUUAGCCUUGCUAGUAAUUAAGGGCAACUGCUUUGCAAUUUGCUUUUCUUGAUCUCGGUCUUAUUUAUAUGCUUGCCAAUAACCAUGAAAUGUGGUCCCUUACUUACACCAGCCUUUGCCACCUUAGUCCCAUCCAGGGCUGCUGAGAUUCCUGUUUCCCAAAUGUGCAGCCAGAAUAGCUAUAACAACUAUACUCACAAUUUUCUGUCAAUUAAUCAUAACGUCUAAGUUGGCUUCUGACAUCUGCUUAACACUACCAACCAGAGAGCUUUCAGUGUUCUUCCAAGUGGGAUCCUUUCCUUUCCUUUCCCUCCCCUCCCCUCCCCACUUCAAUUUAAAAAAAAAUACAAAACUAACUUCACAUUGGAUGUUCUAAAUAGAUUUGCAUUUUGAAAUCAUCAUUGUUUAUUACAUAAAUCUAUUUAUUUACAAAUAUUUAUUUACCUAUUUCUCCCUCUCUACUCCCCCCCCCUUUAAAAAAAUACAAAGCUAGCUUCACUUGUAAGUUCUGGAUAAGUUUGCUUUUCAAAAAAAAAAUUCCUUUUGUUUAUUUCCAGAAAGCCACAUGCAGCUUUGCAAAAUCUCCACUAGGAGGUAUUUUUUAUUUAAGAAAAAAUACUUAUCAAUGCUGUUGGCUCCCGCUUCUCUUUCUGCAUGUGGUGCCACGGGAGUGAAAACAGCCUCUUGAGCACUCCACGCAUCUGGUGAUUGAUGGGCUGCGGGGCUGGAGGAGAAGAGAAGGAUGAGGGGCUUUGAGCCACCCACAUGGAUCAAAGGAAUUGGAUAGAGAGCAACAUAGAUGGGAUCGCCAGUGUGUGCCAGCCCAUUGGUCUGGAAAACGGAGCCAACCCGCCAGCUGAAUGGUUCCCGCGCAGCCAGGGUCCAGGGUUGCGGCCACCCAACAGCGAAGUGGACAACAGUGAGAGGAACUUCAGGGUGAAUCUUCAUUGCAAGUAUGGGCGGCCCAGAGAAUUCAGGUCUAACAGCAGGAGCAGCAAAACAGAAGGCCCAGGCAGCACAUUUCCAGAUGUCCAUCCAAGCAGUUGUUCCACCAAGAGGCAUGCAAGUGAAGAUGAGUUGAGGAAGCGGCUGAAAUCCCAGGGGUCACCAGUACUGUCAACUGGAGGUGCUCUGCGCAGCACUUCCUCUUCUGACUACAGCCAAGAGCCAAAGUUCUACCAGUCAGGACAUCCUGGGCAAAAGACAUUGGUGUGCCUGGCAGAGAAAGCUUUGCCGUAUAGCAUGCUCAGCUUCCCAGAAGGUUCUUGCACUGUAUUAGGUCAAGAGCACAAAUCCAGUUCCUUACAUCAUACAGAGACAGCUGAGCAGUACAAAAGCCUCCAUACCCAGAGCAGCAGCAAGUCCGAAGACCUGCUGGCAUCCAGUGUUCCUGCCUGCCCUGCUGACAUCCAAGACUUGGAGGAAGCCACCACACAAGAUAGAGCUGCCAAAACUUUCUCCAAUGCCACAUUGGCCUCAGGGAGGUGUAAUAUUGAUAGCAUCAUCUCCUUGUUGAAAAGCAAGUGUGGCAACGGCAGAAUCAACCUCUACCCUGUGGUGCAGCUCAUAGACAUUAUGAAGGACAUUGACCGACUCUCCCAGGACCUAAAGAGCUGUGGUGUUCAUUUAGAUUGCAGUGGCUUGCAAUUUGAUAGCCAUCUGCAGCUUAGUGAGGAAGGCCGGGGACAAGGUCUUCAUUAUAGCUUCUACUCCUCCCCCAUGCUGGCCAACAGCAUCCGCAGUCCUGAGGAGCUGGCAGUGCAAAGUAGCACCAAAGCUGAUCUUCUCAAACAGACCCAACCUAGCCAUUAUGCGGGAGAAACAGAAGGGGACACUCAAGGUGCCCAGGACCAAAUCAGCCAGAGUAGUCCUGUUCUGAAGGCUCCUUGUAGCCUAGAUGAAGCUAGCAGCUCAGAGUCUGAGACGACCGAUUAUCCUGAACUAGCCAAUACAGAUAUCCUGAGUGAACUGGCUUCUCUGGCCUGUCCAGGACCUCAGUUAUUAGAUCAGCAUCCAGAUUCCCACCAUCAGCUGCUACAAAGCCAAGGGGCAGAAUCAAGGUCUCAGUUAAUUGGUUCACAGUCUCUAGAAGACCAGCCCCAGCUAGUAGACUCAAAGUCUCUGGAGCCGCCUCCAGAACCAUUGGCCUUGCAGACAGUGGAUCCCUUGCCUGCACCACUGGGGCUGCAGCCUCUAGAACCUCUGGAGCUUCAGACUUUAGAACCUCUUUCUGAGUCGCUAUCACUCCAAUCCCUAGAACCCCUUUCUGAGCCUCUAGGGCUCCAGUCUUUAGGGACCCUGGACCACCAGUUGCUUGAUUCCCAACCCCAGCUCCUGGAUCCAGACGCCCAGCUGCUUCCCCCUUUGCCCAAGUUGCUAGACUCUCAGCCCCAUCUAGGAACACAGGAAUCUUCAGGAGGACACUCACUACAACCUGGAGCCCGCCUUGGAGGCUGUUCCUUAAGAGGAGUAGUAAGGCGAGGGGCUGGGCGGGGAAGGGAUGAUCACAGGAAAUACGCUCUAAGGAGAACAGAUAAACCAAAGAUACUCUGUCGUCGUCGGAGGGGAGGCCGAGGGCAGCGAACAGAGAUUGUCACUGAGAGCCAAGUCCUCCCCAUGGCUGUACCAGUGGAGAUGAUCAUGGCUCAACCAGAAGAACCCAGGAUGCCAUUGACCACCAUUGCAACAGGUGAAGUAGCAGGUCCCAUUGUUUCCACUUUGGAGCCAGAAGAGGGCCAGAAGGCUGCUGCCCUCCUGAAUCCCCCAAAGCCCAAAUGCCGUGGCAUACGUCGGAUGGUGGUAAAGAUGGCCAAGAUUCCCGUCUCUCUUGGGAGGAGGAAUAAGACUACGUACAAAGUGUCCUCCCUCAACAGUAACUUGAAUGUAGAAGGCAAAGGGGUUAUAAUCUCCCCUUCUCUAGAGCCCACUCCACUGCUGAAGAUGAAAAACAAUGGCCGGAAUGUGGUGGUGGUCUUUCCUCCAGGAGAAAUGCCAAUUAUCCUGAAGCGCAAGAGGGGAAGGCCCCCCAAAAACUUAAUGCUUGGGCCCUGCAAACCUAAGGAGCCUGUUCCAGAAGUGAAAAAACGGAGGAGGAGGAAACAGAAGUUGGCAUCCCCACAGCCCUCUUACGUUGCAGACACGAAUGACAGUAAAGCGGACUAUUCAGAUGUCCUGGCCAAGCUAGCCUUUCUCAACCGCCAGAGCCAGUGCUCAGCUCGUUGCUCCCCACCUCGCUGCUGGACCCCGACUGAGCCCGACUCAAUCCACCAGGCUCCUGACACUCAAAGCAUCUCCCACUUUUUGCACCGAGUACAAGGCUUCCGCAGACGAGGUGGCAAAGGAGGUGGAUUUGGGCGUGGAGGGAGCCAUUCCGCCCGUUCCUCCCGUUGCUCCUUCAGCGAUUUCUUUGAGGGCAUUGGCAAAAAGAAGAAGGGGGUUCUGGGGAUGGCCAUGCAUGUCGACCCCGCACAUCCUCGGAAGAGAGGCCGUCCAGAGCCAGACCCCAUGGAGAAGCCCAAAAGAAAGAGGCGAUCUCGCAAAAACGGGGCCCUGUUUCCUGAGCAGAACCCCAGCCAAAACUUCAGUGAUGGGUCCUCAGAAUGGUGUGGAGAAAAAGAAAGUCAUUGGAUGUCCCACCAAGGACACCUUUCUGGUCAAGCCAACAGGAAUUGCAGCUACCAAGGCAGCGACUCUCGGACCUUCCACUCCUCAACCGUGGAAUCAAGUUCUUCAAACCGAACUGGUUUUUAUGGGGGGAGCAAUCCAUCAUCCCAAUCUGAACUCAGCCAGGAAAGGCAGAGCCUUUUCACGGGUUAUUUCCGUUCGCUGUUGGAUUCCGAUGACUCCUCUGACCUGUUGGACUUUGCCCUCUCCAAUUCUCGCUCUGCCUCACGGAAAUCCUCAGCCACCUAUACAGCCCCUCCCAAUGCUAUCGCAACCCAGAGAGGCAUGGCGUCUUACUCAAGCCGGGGUGGGAAAGCCACACCCUCUUCCGCCACCACAACUGCCACGAGCGAGGUGCCCUUCCACACAGUCAGCCGGCAGUCGUUCCCUCCCAACAGAGCAACAGGCUACAACCUGUCCCAGGCUGCUUCAGAGUGCCGUGACCCAGAUGCCUUCCAGAAGCUGGCAUCUCUCUCAGCUGUCUCCAGGUCCCCCACUACUCACUCCACCACAGCCUCCAGCUAUGCACAAUAUGGCAACUAUGGCAGUACUGGAGGACAAAGUGUGACUGCUGCCAGCUUGUUUCAGCAAGGGAAGCCCUACCACGCCCCCCAAGACUGUCCCAACAACAAGGACUGCAGCUUCACCUACGGUGGUGGCAACAGCCUGCCCUCCUCCCCAAGCAGUGCCCACAGUGCCAGCUACACCCAGCAGACUUCAGGGCCCAGCAUCCCCUUGAGUAAGCCCUCUUUCUUCAACAGCUCCGAUCCCAGCCAGUUCUCCAGCUCCUCUCACACCCCCAUGAGGUGUGACAGCCGAGCAAGCACUGUAUCGCCAGGGGGUUACAUGGUCCCUAAGACUUCAGUCCCUUUCCAGCCUUCACCGGAGAACUGUAGGCAGUUUCCUAGUGCCUCUCAAUGGGCUUUCCGGCAAGGCUAUGGCAGUCUGGACUGGAACUCUGAGUCCUUCAGUCAACUCUACAACCCGGGCUUUGACUGCCACAUCAAUGAACCCAAUGUCAUCCUAGACAUUUCCAACUAUACACCCCAGAAGGCCAAGCAGCAGACGGUCUCGGAGACCUUCUCCGAAUCCUCCUCAGAUAGUACCCAGUUCAACCAGCCCUCAGGCUACAGGAGGGCCAACAGCGAGGCUUCGUCUAGUGAAGGGCAGUCCAGCCUCUCUAGCUUGGAGAAGUUGAUGAUGGACUGGAACGAGUCGUCUUCAGCCCCAGGUUAUAACUGGAACCAGAGUGUUUUAUUCCAAAGCAGCUCUAAGCCAGGACGGGGCAGGCGAAAGAAAGUGGACAUAUUUGAUGCUGCCCAUCUCAGUUUUUCCACAGGCGGCUAUCCCUCCAAGAGAGGGGCUGGUGCUCGGCAGCCACGGGGUUCCCGGGGCGCCUGUGCCUCCAAAAAAGAAAGAGGCACAGGCAAAGCUAAAUUCCCCAGCAAAUCCCAGCCGGUGAACCCGCUGUUUCAAGACAGCACAGAUUUGGGACUGGACUACUACAGUGGGGACAGCAGCAUGUCCCCGCUGCCUUCACAGUCCCGGAGCUUUGGGCUCAGUGAACGUGAUCCUUGUGACUAUACAGGGCCCUACUCCAUGAAUCCUUCCACGCCUUCGGAUGGCACCUUUGGGCAAGGGUUCCAGAGUGACUCCCCCAGCCUGGGACAGACAGACUUGGAGAACAAGCAUUUCCCCAGCCUGCCCCACCAGCUGGCUGCCCCACCCACUCAGCAGACGGUGUUCGAAGCCAGCUUGCAGAAAGCUUUUUCACCUAACUGCUCCCCCACCCUGGCCUUUAAAGAGGACUUGCGGCCCAGUGACAUCCGGAAGCUUCCAGCCUGUGACUCGCUCAAACAUGGCAUAGCUGGGGUGGCCGGCUUGCCCCACUCAGCCCCCCACAUGGCCUGCCGGGACCUCUCCAUGUCUCAGCCACACUAUGAUUCUCCCAGCUGUAAAAACCCCAGCUAUUGGUAUUCGCCCACUGCCAGCACCCGCAGCCCUCCCUAUGACAACAAAGCCGGGGUGGGCAUGCUGGUAGACUUCAUGGGGAGGAGCCCCGAGGCUUCUUGCCUCAACCCCCAUUUGACCAGUCCCCCCAGCAGCAACCCUUCUAAGAGCGAGAAGGAGCCCAUGGACAUGGCGAGGGCUCAUCACCGAGGAGCCUAUAUUUGCCCCUUGAUGAAUGACUUAAAUAUCUCCCCAGUCCCAAGAGACUCGAUGCUGCCACUGCAGGACAACUAUAGGUACCCCAGCUUUGUACCCCAAGGGCACCCAAUCAUGGCUGCACCCCAGAAGAGCGGGUUUUUGGGUCCAAUGCUAGAGCAGCAUCCCGAGGACACAUUCACAGUCACCUCCUUGUAGUGUCAUCUGAAGUGCCAACCAGACACGAGGUUUUGUUUCAGGAGCUACUUUAGCAGCACUUUUCUCUGGAACACUUUUCAAGUUCUGUAUUUAAUGGAAAUCAAAAACAAAACAAAACCCCCACCAGACACAUACACACACACACACACACACAUGUAUGACAAAAAAGAAUCUUUUUGUUCGCUUGUUUCUUGGUUGGUUCAUUUCCUUUUUUUUUUCCUAAGAAAACAAAACAAAACAAAAAAAGAGAAAAAGAAAGAAAAGAAGGAGGGGAAAAGAGACAGAGGCAAACGCCCCUACCCCUUUCUUUAAAAACAAAGAAGAAAGGAAAAAAAGAAAAUAUGAUGAGGAAAAUCAAUAAACUUGCUUUCUUUGAUAAUGGCACGGGGGGGGCAGUUUUUGAAGCAGACUGUCGGGAGCUCCCUCAAUCUACAGCCCAGCAAAAAGACAAUCGAAAACCCUUGCAGACACCCAAGUCAAGUGGCAGAAUGGAGGGUGCCGUUCCUCUCAUCAUCCACCCAUCCACAGCAUGCAGACGAGAAACACUCCAGAAGGCAACGGACAGAAACCAAGGACAGCCAGAGGGAAGGGGACAUUAAUUUUUGCUUUUUUUUUUUUUUUGAUGGUGGGGUGGAAGGUGUUGGGGAGGGAAAACAGUGUGAUCAGUGGAUGCCAAUGAAAACUCAUCAAGGAAGACUGAAGAUUUGCCUUUCUCUUCCUUCUCCACCUCUUCCUCCUUCCCCUUAUGUCUCCCUCCUUUUGUGCAGAUUUCUUUAAUUCUUUUUUUUUUUACUCCCCAGUGGUUGGUUGGUUGGUUGGUUUGCUUUUUUUUUUUUAAACAAAAAAACCCAAAACUUUGUUGCUUAAUUUCUUUGGGGAGCCCAGAAGAUUUUACAAGUCUAUGAAUCAAUCUUGGAGACCACCAUCUUCUCCCAUUUCUGUUACCCAAAGGAAGAAGAUCCUUCUGGUCACCACCCUUGAUAUAAGCUUGCAACAGACUGGCUCCUUGUGACCUUUUUCUUUGCUGGAAUGGGGUGGGAGACAAGGAAAGAUCUACCAGCGAAGACCACCACCACCGAUCAAGAGAUUCCAGCAAGACAACGGAAGAUUUGCAUCACCUUUGGGGAGCUCUCCCCACGCUCCCUGGCUCCUGUUACUGCCGCUCUCUGCCCCCUUAGUGCUAGAUGACCUGGAGAAGCUGGCAAGUCUUCUCCAUCGGAAGCAAGGAGGGAGGGCGGGUUGAGGGCAACGGGCCUUUUCUAUCUGCACAAAACCAGCAAUUGUAAAUACUUUUCAAAAAUGUAAAAAGAAAAAUUACAAAAGAGCAAACACCAUGAAGAUGUAUACUCCCAUACACACACGCACACACACACACACACACUCAAAAUCUGAAAUGUUUUGAAGACAAAAAAAAAAAAAAAGAGGCCAGAGAGUCAUAGCAGGAGAGAAGCUAAUUGUGUCGGAUAUGCACUGAGAAAUCUAUUUGCAGAUUGACAAAAAAGUAACAAGAACCUAUUUAUUGUAUAUAAUGUUUUAUUAUAAAUCGUGAAUUGUAUAUUGCAUCUGUACAUCUGCUGUGGUUUUGUGAUGUGCAAAUUUCAGCAUGGGUUUCAUUGAGGUUUUCAGUUGCUUUUCUAUUGUUUGGGGGAGUUUAAAAAAAUUGUUUUGGGUUUGUCUGGGUUUUUUUUUUUUUUUGGCAGGACACACCCAAAGACCCAAGUUUGUAUUUAAAAAAAAAAACUAGGGAAAAAAAUAGAUGAGCUAAUACACCCUUUCGCUGAAGAAGGGGGGAGGGAGGGAGGAAAAGGAGCGAAGUUUUCUGAGUUCUCAUUGGCCACCUGUAAGCCCAAAUGAGUACAGUAUUCCCUCCUCUGCGUGUGCCCCUUUAUGCCAGUGCUGAGCUCAGGGUGUGUGCGUGCGCGUGUACGCAUGCGUGCGACUCCCCGCUCUCCCCCCCCCGCCCACCUUUUGUCCUGCUCUCUAUUCCCUCCUUUUCCUGUUUUGGAAACUUCCGUACAGCUUUGUGGAUCGUGCAGAAAAGAAAAAAAAAAGGAAAAAAAAAAACCCACCCCAUCCUGUGUUGUCCAUUGUGCAUCUAAAUAUACCAGCCUUGGUAGUUGCUUGGAGACGAACACACUCAAAUCCUCGGGAUUGGCACCAUCUAAGCCGCUGCUGCUUGCUUGAUUCCUCUCCCUGGCCAAAAAAAUCGUCUUUGUCCAGCCCCCGAGUCCCCCCCACCACUUUUUUUUUCUUUACUGCUCCCUCUCCCGCACCCCAAUUGGUCUUUUUGUGUAUUUAGGAAGGAAUUUUUAAUAGACACUUUUUAUAUUAAAAGAAACCUAUAUAUUGAGUGA